UCCAUAUUUUAAUAAUUUUCAUAUAAAGCUCUGUAUACGGAAAUGGAAAGGGAAAAAUCCCCCCGUUCGGCUCCCUACUUCCCGGCAAGAUUCGCAUCUCCGUCGUGCCUUGCUUCCAAUCCAUCAAUUUCUUAUCUUCGAUUUUUAUAAUUUUUCUCUUUGUCAAGAUUUUGAAGUGAUAACAGAUGUUGGGAACUUCUCUCGUUGUGCUAAUUAUAGUUUUUUGUUUACUCUCGAUUCCGACCACUUCUCGGUUUACUCUCGAUUUUGAAGUGAUACCAUUGGCUCUAUUACAUCUGUUGUCUUAAGAAAAUGAUUGUCUCAAUUUCUUUCUAAAUGUGCAUUUGCCUUUUAGUUAUUUGAAAAUUAGAGUUCUUUUUUCCUACACAAGAGAGGAUCUUUGUAGUAAUGCAUAUUCUGCAGAAGUGUUUGAAUGAGACACUCUUAAGAACCAUAAUAAGUAAUGAUAUUUAGAGUUGCUUUUCAUGACUAGGGACCUGUAGAUUUGGAUCGUUUUUUUAAUUUUGGUUUCAAUUACCAACAUACAAUUACCGUUUGGUUUAUAUUCUAGGAGCACAUUGGUCCCAGAAGGUAUUUGAAUUAGAUGCCUCAAGUAUUUGGUAAAGAAUUCUUGUGAUCACUAUUUUAUAACACCAAGGCAACAUGUGUGUAAACGUGCUUUUGAACCUAGCUGUAGAUGCGGUGCCUCAUAUUGUGAGCCCACAAUUAUUGCUUUAGUACCACAUUUGUUAUUAAACUAGGGUUAAAUCAGAUCAAGGAAAGGAAAACAAAAUACUGUUAGUUCAUCUUCUUCAUUUGAGCUUCUUACUCGAUGCUCUUCCUCUGCAUUAGAUGUGGAGAAAAUUGGAGAUGAGAUCCAAGAGGAAGAUUUAGUGGGCAAUAAGUUGAAUGGUGUGGAAAAUUUGAGUGGGACAGUGAUGAUAAGUUUUAAUUUUUAGAUGUUCAGAUGUGAUUUUGUAGCUAUAAUUCUAAGGAAGUGGCAAAGCGAAAGACUCAUAAUAUUUGAGCUCUGUCAGCGCUUUAUAUUUAGAUUUGAUCUUCACGACUAGUGACCUGUGUCUCUGGGUUCAUUACUUACUUUUGUUCAAUUAGUACUUACAUUUCGCUGAAUUUUUAUAUCUUGGGAACUCAUCGAUCUAUUAAAGUGGCAACUUGAGCCAAAACCAACUGUUUAGGCAUCCUCAAAGGUAGUUCGUUGGAAACUCCACUCUCAUGUCUGAAUUUUAAUACUAGGGUGAAUAUAAACAAAUGGAGGAACUGAAGCUAUGAAAACAUUUUGGUCUAUUACUAUCUACGGGAUUUUCUCCCGCUAUUAUCUUUUAGGAUUUCUGCUAUAAAGUAGGUAAAUGAGUUUACUUUAAGAGUACUCGGACAUUUUCUUUCCUUAGUAGAACUUUGUAAUAAAUUAAUGGUAUACUUUUCAUCUUUCUUUUACCUCCUGCCUCUUUCCUCUCCAUUAGUAUUUCUUUGCAUUUUUGUCUUUGGGUUUCUUGGCACCUUGAUAUCCCUCCAUUCCAUUUUUUUGGUAACAAUUAUCUGCUUGUUAUUGGACAAACUUGUUUGAUAAUCCGAGUUUCUUUGCAGGUAUUAGACUAAGUAAUGGAGUUGAAUAGCAUUAAAGAUGCAUUUGAUCGUGUGACGAAGAAGCAGAAAUUAUCUUCUUCCAAAAGUCAAGAAGUAGUUGAUCAAAUCCAUCUGGAGAUGGAGCAGGUGCUACACAAAAUACAGUUUGCUGAUAAUCCUGAAUGUCCAAUUGAUUUGAAUUCAGUUUUUGCUGAACUCAAAACUAAAUUAAAAGAUAUUGCGCCACUCGCUCAGCUUGAAAGCACACAAAAGGAGUUGAAUGCUGCCCGAACCAAGUAUCCUAAGCUUGUGGAGAAAUCUUUCAAUCCAGAUAUAUCAAAAGCUUAUAGAAACGUUGACUUUGAUAGGCAUACUGUUGACCAUAUUAUUGCUCGUCAUUUCUAUCGCCAGGGUAUGUUUGAACUUGGUGACUGCUUUAUUAGUGAGGCUGGCCAGUCAGAAUCUUCUGCCUCAUUGAGGUCUCCAUUUCAGGAAAUGUAUCAGAUCCUUGAAGCAAUGAAGUACGGGAAUCUAGAGCCAGCUAUGAAUUGGGCUCUGAGUAACUCAAAUAAACUUAAGGAAUGUGGGUCGGAUAUUCUGCUAAAACUUCAUACCAUGCAGUUCUUGGGGAUUCUACAGAAGGGCGAUAGACAUGACGCUUUGAAGUAUGCUAGGACGUACCUGGCUCCUCUUGCAUCCAACCACAUGGCUGAACUUCAGAAGCUUAUGGCUUGCCUAUUGUGGACAGGAAGGCUUGAUUGCUCCCCAUACUCCCAAUCACAAUUAAUGUCAGUAGCCAAUUGGGAUAAAAUUGCUGAAGAGCUUAUAAGACAGUACUGCAAUUUUCUUGGUCAGUCCUACGAGAGCCCAUUGGGCGUAGUGGUUGCAGCAGGGGUACAGGGUUUGCCUCUCCUCCUGAAGUUUAUGAAUGUCAUGGCGGGGAAAAAACAUGAAUGGCAAUCUACGAAGCAGUUGCCUGUGCCGGUCGAGUUGGAUAGAGAAUUUCAGUUCCAUUCCAUCUUUGUUUGUCCAGUAUCGAAGGAACAGUCAACCGAAGAAAAUCCACCAAUGUUGAUGCUGUGUGGCCACGUCCUCUGCAAGCAGUCUAUCAUCAAGAUGUCUAAAAACAGCACAAAAUCGUUUAAGUGCCCAUAUUGUCCAACAGACAUUGAUUCUACGCGGUGUAGGCCAUUGUACUUUUGACGCUUACACAAAAGGGUCGGUUAAUGUUGCAUGAAACUUCCUCUCUUCAACUGAACCGAUAUUUGCUGGAUGUGGUUGUAUGGUGUAACAAAGGGUGUUAAAUGUGGGGGGAAAUGAUGGUACUGAUUUGGCGAUGGGCCUAAUUUCAUCGCCAUUAGGCCUUGACGAUGGAGAUGGGGAAUUUAAUGUUAGGCCAAUACAGAUCCAUGCCUCCUGUCACCCAACUAUACCAAUCAGUGACAAGCUACAUCAGAACACGUCCGAGAAGAAUACUGAAGGUUAGUUCACAAUAACUUUCAAAAGUAGUACUCUUAAGUGAAUUAUUAUCAUUAUUAUUUUAUCAGAAUUCAGAACUUUGGAAGAAAGCACUAAUUAAAUGUUUCUUCUUGUAAUUUAUUUUGUUUUCAAUUAUCCCAAGUCUUCCUCACCAACUUCUAAGUUCUAACUAUCACCGUUACUGUUUUUAAAGUUACGUCAAACUCAUUCUUACCCGUGCAUAUUGAAAAGUUCAUACAUUUCUUUAAGAGCUAUAUCCAAUGAUUUUACUUACUUCCCUUACUAUUUGUAUAUUCUGCACAAAAUGAUUCGUGUGUCAUACUGUUGAGAACGCAAGAAUAUUUGAAAGAAAGGAUAAAGACUUACCCCUUGAUUACCAACUUUUGCACCUCCUCCUCAAGUCUUUUGUCGCUCAUUAUGGAGACCUUGCUGCCCACAC